rnacentral:rRNA from 1 species
GACGAACGCUGGCGGCGUGCCUAAUACAUGCAAGUCGAGCGAAGUUUUUCUGGUGCUUGCACUAGAAAAACUUAGCGGCGAACGGGUGAGUAACACGUAAAGAACCUGCCUCAUAGACUGGGACAACUAUUGGAAACGAUAGCUAAUACCGGAUAACAGUAUUUCUCGCAUGAGAGAUAUUUAAAAGUUGGUUAUGCUAACACUAUGAGAUGGCUUUGCGGUGCAUUAGCUAGUUGGUGGGGUAAAGGCCCACCAAGGCGACGAUGCGUAGCCGACCUGAGAGAGUGAUCGGCCACACUGGGACUGAGACACGGCCCAGACUCCUACGGGAGGCAGCAGUAGGGAAUCUUCCGCAAAGGGCGAAAGCCUGACGGAGCAACGCCGCGUGAGUGAAGAAGGAUUUCGGUUCGUAAAGCUCUGUUGUUAGGGAAGAAUGGAUAUGUAGUAACUAUACAUGUAAGAGACGGUACCUAACCAGAAAGCCACGGCUAACUACGUG